GCUACGGGAGGCAGCAGUGAGGAAUAUUGGUCAAUGGACGCAAGUCUGAACCAGCCAAGUAGCGUGCAGGAUGACGGCCCUCCGGGUUGUAAACUGCUUUUAGUUGGGAAUAAAAGGGGGCUCGUGAGCCCCGUAGUGUAUGUACCAUCAGAAAAAGCCCCGGCAAACUACGUGCCAGCAGCCGCGGUAAUACGUAGGGGGCAAGCUUUAUCCGGAUUUAGUGGGUGUAAAGGGAGCGUAGAGGGUGCGUCAAGUCUGGAGUGAAAUGCUGCAGCUUAACUGCGGAAUUGCUAUUGAUACUGGCGAACUUGAGUACAGGUGGGGUAAGCGGAAUUCGUAGUGUAGCGGUGAAAUGCGUAGAUAUCAGGAGGAACCCCGGUGGCGAAGGCAGCUUACUGAACCGUAACUGACGUUGAGGCUCGAAAGCGUGGGGAGCAAACAGGAUUAGAUACCCCAGUAGUC
rnacentral:rRNA from 1 species